GAGGAGAGGAACGAAAUAAACUCACACAUGCAGCCAUCUUUUGGUGGAGAAGCUCAGCGGUCCCUCCAAGGGGGGUCCUAUAUGGGUAAUUUUCUACAAGUAUAAACUCAAAGCAAGAGAACGAGCCUCAGCUAGCAGCAAUCACUCCCACUGUUGCUACCGCAAUACAACGUAACAAUCACUAAAGCUGCUAAAUGUGGUGAUUUGAACAGAGAGUCACCAAUCAUGCUUUUCAUGGUUCAGUUUUCCUUGACCUCCUGAUUCGUGAUGAUGGUGAUGUAGGAUCUGUAAAGUGUCGCAGGUUCUUUGACAGAGAUACUUGUGUCAAUUUAAACCAAAUUAAGGAUGCAUCCAAAGGCGUGUUGUUAAUUGAUAAUAAAAAUAUCUGGAGAUUUCAGUUUUGAUGCAGUUAAGAAACAU